rnacentral:rRNA from 1 species
CAAUAGCGUAUAUUAAAGUUGUUGCAGUUAAAAAGCUCGUAGUUGGAUAUCUUGGAGGGUGCCAAUGUCCGCUACGGCCUGCGCAGCGGCGCCCUUCCAUCCUUCUGUUAACGCCUCUUGGCAUUCGUUUGCUGGUGGCGGGCUCAGAUAUUUUACCUUGAGAAAAUUAGAGUGUUUCAGGCAGGCUAGGCCGGAAUACAUUAGCAUGGAAUAAUGGAAAAGGACUAUGGUCUCUUUGUUGGUUUGAGGGACUGCAGUAAUGAUUAAUAGGGACAGUUGGGUGCAUUAGUAUUUAAUUGUCAGAGGUGGAAUUCUCAGAUUUGUUAAAGACUAACUUUUGCGAAAGCAUUUGCCAAGGAUGUUUNCAUUAA